GACGAACGCUGGCGGCGUGCCUAAUACAUGCAAGUAGAACGCUGAAGGAGGAGCUUGCUUCUCUGGAUGAGUUGCGAACGGGUGAGUAACGCGUAGGUAACCUGCCUGGUAGCGGGGGAUAACUAUUGGAAACGAUAGCUAAUACCGCAUAAGAGUAGAUGUUGCAUGACAUUUGCUUAAAAGGUGCAAUUGCAUCACUACCAGAUGGGCCUGCGUUGUAUUAGCUAGUUGGUGGGGUAACGGCUCACCAAGGCGACGAUACAUAGCCGACCUGAGAGGGGGAUCGGCCACACUGGGACUGAGACACGGCCCAGACUCCUACGGGAGGCAGCAGUAGGGAAUCUUCGGCAAUGGACGGAAGUCUGACCGAGCAACGCCGCGUGAGUGAAGAAGGUUUUCGGAUCGUAAAGCUCUGUUGUAAGAGAAGAACGAGUGUGAGAGUGGAAAGUUCACACUGUGACGGUAUCUUACCAGAAAGGGACGGCUAACUACGUG
rnacentral:rRNA from 1 species